rnacentral:misc_RNA from 1 species
UCGUAACAAGGUCUCCGUUGGUGAACCAGCGGAGGGAUCAUUACCGAGUUUACAACUCCCAAACCCCUGUGAACAUACCAAUUGUUGCCUCGGCGGAUCAGCCCGCUCCCGGUAAAACGGGACGGCCCGCCAGAGGACCCCUAAACUCUGUUUCUAUAUGUAACUUCUGAGUAAAACCAUAAAUAAAUCAAAACUUUCAACAACGGAUCUCUUGGUUCUGGCAUCGAUGAAGAACGCAGCAAAAUGCGAUAAGUAAUGUGAAUUGCAGAAUUCAGUGAAUCAUCGAAUCUUUGAACGCACAUUGCGCCCGCCAGUAUUCUGGCGGGCAUGCCUGUUCGAGCGUCAUUUCAACCCUCAAGCCCUCGGGUUUGGUGUUGGGGAUCGGCGAGCCCUUGCGGCAAGCCGGCCCCGAAAUCUAGUGGCGGUCUCGCUGCAGCUUCCAUUGCGUAGUAGUAAAACCCUCGCAACUGGUACGCGGCGCGGCCAAGCCGUUAAACCCCCAACUUCUGAAUGUUGACCUCGGAUCAGGUAGGAAUACCCGCUGAACUUAAGCAUAUCAAUAA